GAUGUACUUCCUCCGUUCCAAAGUUUUUGUCUUAGUUUUGUUUAAAAAUAAAUGUAUCAAAAUGCUAAAACAUUACUAGAUACAUUCAUAUCUAGAUAAAUCUAAGACAAUAAUUUUAAGACGGAGGGAGUAUAUG
rfam:Hordeum vulgare subsp. vulgare, WGS project CAJW01000000 data, contig: morex_contig_39778